CCUACGGGGUGCAGCAGUGAGGAAUAUUGGUCAAUGGACGCAAGUCUGAACCAGCCAUGCCGCGUGCAGGAAGACGGCUCUAUGAGUUGUAAACUGCUUUUGUACGAGGGUAAACGCAGAUACGUGUAUCUGUCUGAAAGUAUCGUACGAAUAAGGAUCGGCUAACUCCGUGCCAGCAGCCGCGGUAAUACGGAGGAUUCAAGCGUUAUCCGGAUUUAUUGGGUUUAAAGGGUGCGUAGGCGGUCGGAUAAGUUAGAGGUGAAAUCCCGAGGCUCAACUUCGGAAUUGCCUGUGAUACUGUUCGGCUAGAGAGUAGUUGAGGUAGGCGGAAUGUAUGGUGUAGCGGUGAAAUGCUUAGAGAUCAUACAGAACACCGAUUGCGAAGGCAGCUUACCAAGCUACUUCUGACGUUGAGGCACGAAAGCGUGGGUAGCAAACAGGAUUAGAUACCCUUGUAGUC
rnacentral:rRNA from 1 species